AUUUGAAAAUAGCUGGAAACCAAACGCGCCUCAAGGUUUAUAGGGUUUUACUGGGCGGAAAGGUAACUCUAGGGUUUUAUUCUUCACCCUGUCCAGUUCCCUAUUUCUCUGAUUCGUACAGGCAAACACACAACUGACUAUCCAAAAAUGGAGCCGAGAUUGGCCAAUACAUGGCGUUUAACUGUGAACGAGAAGAAAUUCAUCGAGACUGCUUUGCAGUCGGACCUCCGUAUCGACGGCCGUCGUCCUUUCGACUACCGCAGCCUCUCCAUCAAAUUCGGCAGAGAGGAUGGCUCGGCGGAGGUACAGUUGGGACAGACCCAUGUGAUGGGUUUUGUAACUGCCCAAUUGGUCCAGCCGUAUAAGGACAGACCUAAUGAGGGGACGCUUUCCAUCUUCACUGAAUUCUCUCCAAUGGCUGAUCCUUCUUUUGAGCCGGGCCGUCCCGGAGAGGCUGCUGUGGAGUUGGGACGCGUAAUAGACCGUGGUCUGAGGGAAAGCAGGGCAGUGGAUACAGAAUCACUUUGUGUCCUUUCUGGGAAGUUAGUAUGGGCAGUCCGUGUUGAUCUCCACAUUCUAGAUAACGGGGGAAACCUUGUUGAUGCUGCUAAUAUUGCUGCUUUGGCAGCGCUCAUGACAUUCAGGAGGCCCGAGUGUUCAUUAGGAGGAGAAGAUGGCCAGGAAGUGGUAGUGCACCCAGCUGAGGUAAGGGAGCCACUUCCUUUGAUAGUCCAUCACCUCCCUAUAGCAGUUACAUUUGCAUUUUUCAGUAAUGAGAGCAGUGUGGUGAUAGACCCCACCCACUAUGAAGAGGCUGUUAUGGGGGGAAGAAUGACUGCUACACUUAAUGCAAAUAAUGAUGUUUGUGCUAUUCAAAAAGCUGGAGGGGAGGGUGUUUUGCAGAGCGUGAUCAUGCAAUGUUUGAGAAUUGCUGGACAGAAGGCAUAUGAUAUAACUACCAAGAUUAAAAAUGCGGUUGAAUCAUACAACACAGAAAGAGCGUCACAGAAGAUCAAGCGCCACACUAUUGUUUCUUCACAUGUCAGUGGAGUCAGUGUGAAUGUAGGGAAGCAAAGCCAAUAUGUUGAUCAGAAGGAUGUUAGUGAUAGAUCAAAGCUGAUACCUGAGAAAUUUGUGGCAGAUCAAAGUAUGGACUUAGAAGGUAAAACCAAAUCGUCUGAACAAGGGCAAACUAACAGGAUAGAGGGAGAUGCUAAGAACUUCAUUGGUGGGCCCUCAAGUUGGGAUCCUUACUCCGGGGCUGUUAAUGCAGAUUUCCUGAAAGCUUCUCUUGCUUCACGUGGAACAGCAACCCCUAUUAAAAAUGAAAAGGACUCUAUGGGAGAGAAUUCUUCAUGUGAAGUUAAGCCAGUGGAACCGACUGAAGAUAUUAAUUCUGCUUCACUUACUGAGGCAGCUGAUACUGUUUUGCAGACUAACAGAGAGAAGACUUUGAAGGAUGCUGUGAAACCCAAGCACAAGAGAAAAAAUAAAGCAUCCUUCGCUAGUGAAAGUUAGAUGCCAAAAGAGAUGUUGGGUUGCAAACUUCUGUUUAGAGCUUACAGAGGGCAUCUGUACUUGAAAACCCUGUGAAUUUAGAGGCACAAAACAUGUGCAGGAGUAAAUUAACGUUCAAAUACCAAAGAACAGAACCAUAGAUGACUGUCGGCACCAAAGGAACCCAACGAACUGAAAUGUGGAGUACCAAAAGUGAGAUGCCGUUGUCUGUGGUUACUUUCAGUCGAUAAACUUCAUCUCUUUGUUCCCAUGGUGGAAAAAACGAUAAAAACAAAUGAAGUAAAAACGGUGGCACUAGUUGAUGCUCAUCAAAGUUGAUCUACUACAGGGCUUAUAUUCUCAAUCCCAGCUUCCACUGCUUAUAUUUUCUUUGUUAAAUGUCCCUUCUUGUACCAUAACACCUAAUCUAAGUACUUUGGGGGCGAUUGUAGAAGUCCCUCAUACCCACUUAUUGUACUUUGAAUUAUUCUAAUAAAAUUAUUUGCUUUUUAAAAGAGUUAUGUUACAUUCAUAAAGAUAUCACAUAAAAAUAAUCUUACAAAUUGACAUGACUUCAUAUAAUUUAUAUUAAAUCUACUUUACAAUAAAAGUUAUUUUAUAAUCUGAAAAAUCACAUUAAAUCACGUUGGUUUGUAAAAUUAUUUUGCGGCUAAAAUAUUUCCCUUCAAAAAUGGUGCAUGUUCAACGAACUUGAAAAUAUCCCCCCGUACUUUAUAGGCAUCUUUAGAUAGUUAAAACCGAAAAAACAAGAAAAUAAAAAUGAAUCUUUCUCAACAAGAGCAAAUGUAACGUGCUAUAGUCUCUUUGAAUGAAAACAUAAGUGUAGAAAUUCUGAAAACAAAACUUGGGUGACAAAAUGCCUUUUUCCGUUUAGUAUAAACGUUCAGAUAGCUCCCAAAGAAACCAACAUAAAUUGAUGUAACAAAGACAACCUAAAACUGCCUUGCCCAUAUCCUUGCCAGAAACUUCAGAUUCUAAACAUUAGCACGAAGAGAGUGAAGGAAUUAGAACACAGAUUACAACUUAAUUAAUAAGAAUCCUGGUAGGAACAGCAACACAGAUCACCAAAAUUAGUGUAUGAGUUAAACCAUCGGUUAAAAAGCCAUACAAGGGAGACGAAAUGCAAGUGUUCCCUCCCGAAAC